CCGAAAUAGCUCUAGGGCUAGCGUCGGGAUUUAAACACUGGGGGUAGAGCACUGACAGAGCUAGGGGCCCUGACCGGUUACUGAACUCCAUCAAACUCCGAAUACCAGUGUGAAUAUCCCGGCAGUCAGUCUACGUGGGAUAAGCUGCGUGGUCAAAAGGGAAACAGCGCAGAUCGACAGCUAAGGUCCCUAAAUUUCAGCUAAGUGGUAAAGGAAGUCAGAAUUCUUAGACAGCCAGGAGGUUGGCUUAGAAGCAGCCACCCUUAAAAGAGUGCGUAAUAGCUCACUGGUCGAUGUUUUCUGGCGCCGAAAAUGUAGCGGGGCUCAAGCUGAAUACCGAAGCUUCGGACGUGUCCUUUAGGACAUUGUGGUAGGGGAGCGUUCUGUACGCCUGUGAAGCCGUAUCGUGAGAAGCGGUGGAGGUAUCAGAAGUGCGAAUGCCGGCAUGAGUAGCGUAAAGAGAUGUGAGAAUCAUCUCUGCCGAAAGCCUAAGAUUUCCUGGGCCAGGGUUUUCCACCCAGGGUUAGGCGGGACCUAAGUCGAGGUCGAGAGACGUAGAUGAUGGACAGCCGGUUAAGAUUCCGGCCCCACGGCAACUUGUUUGAGCAUGGAGUGACGCAGAAAGAUAGUGCUAGCGGCGUGUGGUUGUGCCGCGUCAAGCGUGUAGGGUGUUGGGAUAGGCAAAUCCGUUCCAACUGAGCCUGAGACGUGAUGAGGACCGAACUAAGUAGGGAACUGCAUGUGUCUACGCUGCCGAGAAAAACUUCUAGUUAGAGUUGUCGUGCCCGUAUUGAAACCGACACUGGUGGGCAAGUAGAAAAUACUAAGGCGGCGGGUGAAGCCUUCUUAAGGAACUCGGCAAAUUAGCCCCGUAAGUUAGCGAUAAGGGGUGCCCUGAAUUGUGUAGGAACUUGCUUCCGAAGCGUUUUGGGGCCGCAGUGAAUGGGCUCAAGCGACUGUUUAACAAAAACACAGGUCUCUGCCAAGCCGCAAGGCGACGUAUAGGGGCCGACUCCUGCCCGGUGCUGGAACGUUAAGGGGAGGACUCAGGGGUAACCCGAAGGUCUGAACCGAAGCGCCAGUAAACGGCGGCCGUAACUAUAACGGUCCUAAGGUAGCGAAAUUCCUUGUCGGGUAAGUUCCGACCCGCACGAAUGGAGUAACGACUUGAGCACUGUCUCGAGAAGGGGCCCGGCGAAAUUGCAUUACCUGUGAAGAUGCAGGUUACCCGCAGCAAGACGGAAAGACCCCGUGGAGCUUUACUGUAGCUUGAUGUUGAUU
rnacentral:rRNA from 1 species